rnacentral:tRNA from 1 species
GGGCGGUUAGCUCAGCAGGUUUAGAGCGUCUGCCUUACAAGCAGAAGGCCGGGGGUUCGAAUCCCUCACCGCCCA